CCCGCACAAGCGGUGGAGCAUGUGGUUUAAUUCGAAGCAACGCGAAGAACCUUACCAGGUCUUGACAUCCUCUGACAAUCCUAGAGAUAGGACGUCCCCUUCGGGGGCAGAGUGACAGGUGGUGCAUAUCGUCAGCUCGUGUCGUGAGAUGUUGGGUUAAGUCCCGCAACGAGCGCAACCCUUGAUCUUAGUUGCCAGCAUUCAGUUGGGCACUCUAAGGUGACUGCCGGUGACAAACCGGAGGAAGGUGGGGAUGACGUCAAAUCAUCAUGCCCCUUAUGACCUGGGCUACACACGUGCUACAAUGGACAGAACAAAGGGCAGCGAAACCGCGAGGUUAAG
rnacentral:rRNA from 1 species